rnacentral:tRNA from 1 species
GCCUGGGUGGCUCAGUGGGUUGAGUAUCCGGCUUCGGCUCAGGUCAUGAUCUCACAGUUUGUGGGUUCAAGCCCCGCAUCAGGCU